rnacentral:sRNA from 1 species
CGCAGGGCGUUUUCCUUCCUGGAGGGCCUGUGGAGCGGAGGCCCGAGGCCUAGGGCAAACUUGCCAUGAAGAAAGGAGAGGCUGUUCGAGAGCCCUAGGCUGGGAGUCGGAGGACCUGGGUUCGAUUUAUACAUACUUGAGCAUGUCAGUGAACUUCUGGGCACUUUAGUUUUCUGAUUUCCAGAAGUAAAUACUGUUUCCUGCCUUGCCGUUUCCCAAAGUUGUGCGGGUUGAAUGCCUCAAAUUCCUGCCUUUCCUCAAGAGAAGAGCCCCCAGGAGAAAAGCCAGUAUUGCUUGUGCUCCUAACAACCUGUCUCUUGGUUAUGGGAACUCUGUGAAGAGAAUAUGACUGUGUCCUGAAGAAUUUGGAUUAGUUUAAUAUGUAUGCAUAAUAUAUGUACACUUAUGUACUUAUUUAUGUUUAUAUGCAUCAAGAGAUACCUAGAAGAAGGUCCAUUAAAAUACUAUUAUUUUCUGUG